CAGACACUUAACCGACCGAGCCACCCAGGUGCCCCCAGAACUGUUUUAUGAAUGUUAGUUUCCUCCUCUCGACCUCAUGCAGGCUUCAUGAUGUCCACAUAAAAAAAACUUUGACACUUGUUUGCAACAGCCAAAAAGUGGAAACAACCCAAAUGUCCAGCAACGAUGAAUAAAUCAACAAAAUAUGGCCUAUCCUUGAAAUAGAAUAGUAUUUAGUCAUAGAAAGGAAUAAAGGACUGACACAUGGAUGUACCUUAAAAACAUAAUGUUAAGUGAAAGGAGCCAGAUAGAAAAGGCCAUAUGUUGUAUGAUUCUACUUACAAGAAAUGUGCAGAAUGGGCAAAUCCAUAGAGACAGAAAGUAGACUGGCAGUGGCCAGGAGCUAGGGGACCAACCAAUGGGGAAUGACUGCUGAUAGAUGUGUUUCUUUUGGGGUUGAUGGAGAUAUUCUGGAAUUAGAUAAUGAUGGUGGUUGCACAGCCUCAUGAACAUUCUAAAAUUUGUACAUUUGUAUACUCUAAACUGGUGAGUUUUAUUGUGUGUGAAUGAUAUCUUUCCUUUUAGAAGAUGUAUAUUCACACGCUGAAACCCAGGCUGCAAAAAGAAAGGACAGGGAGAAAGCCUCUAUCAGGGAAACCAACCUCACUUAGGGUGCAGGAAGCCACAAAUGUAAGAACAGCAAAGGGUAAGUAACACUUAAUAAGGUAAAGGGCCAGUGAAAGAGUUUCCAAGUAAAAGGAGCUAGUGCAAAGGCCCUGUGGUUAGAGGGAGCAUGGUGCAGAGAGGGAAGGAAAAAAGGAGAUGGUGCCAAGGGGUAGAGAACAGAGCAAGCUAGUGCAGGGUAGGGCUGGGGCAGUGGGCUCAGCCCUCAGAAGGUCUCACCUGCCUUCUGCUUCCCACCAAUUCCUCUAUUAGAACAUCACAUUUUUGGUUCAGUGAUUUCUGCACUCUUGUUUUCUCAUAUUAUCCUGAUGCUACUUCACAAUGCCUGCAUCAGUCACCUCACUUCGUCUCAUCACAGGGGCAUAUUAUCAUCUUACAAAACAACAAGGCUGAGUACAAUAUAGGAAGAUAUUUUGAGAGACCACAUUCAUGUAACUUUUAUUACAGUAUAGUGUUAUAAUCGUUCUAUUUUAUUAUUAGUUAUUGCUCAUCUCUUUCUGUGCCUAAUUCAUAAGUGAAACUUUAUCAUAGGUAUGUGUGUGUAGGAAAAAACAUAGUCUAUGUGGGGUUCGGUUUCAGGCAUCCCCUGGGGGUCUUGGAACGUAUCCCCUACAAUACGGGGGGACCACUCUGCUACCAUUGUGCUUUGGCACCUUCUGCUUUCCCUCCCCCCCAGCUCAUGCCCACAGGUCUCCUGGGAGGAAUGCCUUAAAGAUUCUAAUGUUUAUGGAGCUUCUGUAAUAUACUAAAGCUUUUCAUGUGUUAAGACAGUCCUUUAUACCUACCCAAGACUCGUACUGUUACUAUCCCCAUCUCAAAGAUGAGAAAACUGAGCUCAGAGUAGUCAUCAUAUGCCUGAAACUGGAAAGGCUGGAGCAGGAUUCUAAGGAAUCUGAACUCUUGCUCCUUCAAAUUGCCUGGGGCUACUUCUCUGACUCCUCUCUACCUGCCUUUUCUCACACUGUCUAUAAACCCGCAUUUCCAAGAAGACUUCCAGGGUUCCCUUCCUAGGUAGACUGUAUCCUUCCUCAUCUGUGCUUUUGAAACACAAUUAGUUCAAGUCACUCUUCAGCUCAAAAUCCUCACUCAGAAUAAAACUCUCAACGAGGCCUACAAGGUCCUCUAUUAUCUGUCCCUCUCCACCAGCUCCCUCCCUGACCCGUUUACUUUGUGGCCUUAACUCUACCUUCCCCUCAUCCUGUACCAACCACACAGGCCUCCUUGCUGGUCCUCAGUCAGGCUGCGCCUGCUCUCUGCCUCACGGCCUUUGCACUUGCUAUUUCUCCCAUGAUCCUCCACACGACCCAUUUCCUUCAGUUUUCUGCCGUCACCUUUUCAGGGGGCCUUCCAGACCACCUUCUCUAAAACAACUGCCCCAACUGGCAUUCCUUCCCUCUCAUCCGGUUUUAUGUUUUCCCUAACAUAUGUCAUCCUUUGACAUAUUUUAAAUGCCUUUGUUUAUGAACAUACUGUCCUUCCUUCUUAGACUCCAAGCUUCAUGAGAGCAGGCACUGUCCCUAGAGCAGGGGAAGCCAUUGAAGGAUUCUAAGCUGAGGAGUAAGAAAAACCACACUUACAUUUUUUUUAAGUUCAUUUAUUUAUAAUCUUUACACCAAACGUGGGGCGUAAGCUCACAACCCCGAAAUCAAGAGUUGCAUGUUCUGCCAAUUGAGCCAGGCUGGCGCCCAACCACAUUUACAUUUUUAAAGGAUUUCAGUUGUGUAGAGAGUAGACUGGGGGGAAAAAGUAUUCCUUAUAAAAACAAUUGUAAUGCUAAAAAAGGUUGAAAACCUCAUGACAUAGUGUAUCCCUUUCGUUCCACAGAUGAGAAAACUAAGGCUUAGAGAGGGUGGUGGGGGGAACCCCACUGGAGACUUUCCAAUUUCUGGUUUUCUACAAGAAUCCUGGAAAAAGAGACCACCCAGGACACUGUCCUCCCCAGAACCUCCUGUCCACGGCCCAUCUCCACGAGGGUGCCAGCACCUUCUCUCAGGGGUGGCAUGGUACUCCCCAGCACGAGGGCCCGCACAAUGGCCGCCAAGCUUCCGCGCUGCACAGUUCUGGGGCCGAUGCAGCACACACAUCGUUCUCUCCAGACCCUUGCGUGAGCAUUUCCAUCCGAUGAUCCCCGAAGGGCCGCACAGCUGAGUUGCGGGGCAGCUCAUGCGUUUCCGUGGAGGGAAAGGUGCGUUGACACCUGCCAUCCUGGGAGCCCUCCGCACACGCACUGAGCACCUCCCAGCCCGCCGUGCCUCGGAGGCCCUUUCCCCCCAUUUGCUCCCUGGAUGCAGGUCUGAAUUUCUGGAGUCUGCCUAACAGAGGCUGCCACCUGGGGCCUGGUCUUUUUCUGUCUCCCCAUCCUGUUCUCUGAUCCCGCUGUGGCCCAGCCCCAUCUCCACACACCUCCAGGCUCUUAGACGGUAGCCUGUGGCCGUCCACCUCCCAGCUGGUGACAAACACUGAGGCUGUGCCCCGGGGGCCCUGGAGCACGACUGGCUCAGUCCCACUGGGACUUGGGGGCCAGGAGGCAGGGAAACUCUCCCACUGAAACUGUGGACAUGGGUGGGGGUAGCAGAAAGUGCCCUGAGUCCGCGGUCUUGCCAGCUGCAGGCGUGAGACUGUGCAGGUGUAUCUCGUCGAGAGCGUGUGGGUGAGUGUGCGCGCCGGAUCCCGUGCCAGGGUGCGUGUGUGUUCUAGGGGCGGUUGUGUGAGGCGUUAUGUAAUGGAGGCACUCCCUGGGGCCAACAAACCGCAGUGGUGUAACCGCCGGCCGGCCAGGCCACCAGAAGGAAAGCAGGGAAAAUGUAAACACCAUUCUGGGCCUUUCCCUUGCCUGCCACAAACAGGCCUUGGACAGAGCGGCUCUUCCGGUCCUCCAUUCCUGCUGCCUUAACCCCGUGGGCUGGCCUGGGAGGGGGUGAUAAUGGAGGCCGAGGGGUCAAAGAACUCUCCAGAAGGGAACAUCCAAGGCUCUUGAUCCCAGCCAGGGGGCAGGCCAGAGAGGAGAGCCCACUGAGGUCUUCCUGGGCUUCUCCUGGGUCUGCCACAGGCCAUGCAUCCCCGACAAAUGGGGCAUGCUGCCUCCCUCACCCCCAGAGUUGCUUUCUCUUCAAAGGCUUUGGAGGCUCGCUGUGUCCCAGAGGCCUCUCCCCGGCCUCCGCAGUGAGCCAGUGCAGACUCACCACUCACGUGCCCACACGCGUGGGGUGGCCUCCGAGCUGGCCGUCUCUGCCCCUCUGUCUCUCAGGUAUACACAAAGGUACGUCUCUCCCCGCCUUCAACACCUCAUCCCAGGCCAGACGCCUGCCUUCCCGCGGGCUCCCAGCAGCUCAGUCCUUCCGCACCACACCGAGGCUCCCUCUUCCAGGAAGCCUCCCCUGCCCGCUCCCGGCCACAGUCCCCCCUUCCUGCUCCGAGCUCCUGAGGCGCCUCUGGAUGCACAGCCUGACAUCCAGCCAUACACAAUCGCCCCCUCGUUCUCCAGUUGUUCGCGUUAAUCGUAACGGCCACAAUUUGUGCAGCACGCUGUCUGCCAGACCCGCUCCCUGAAGGUGCCCUUGGUAGGACGAUGUCACCCUCACGCCAACCCUAGAAAGUAGCAUCUUACCACCGUCACGUGGCUGGAACCCAAGCAGAGAGAGGUUACGUGAAUUACCCACAGUUCUAUCCACGGCUACGAGUGUCUUGACGGCAGAGCCCACAUUCACAACAUCCCGUGGCUAAGCCUCAUCUCCCCACACCUCCGAGCUCCUGGAAGGUGGGAACCUGUUCUGCCUCCCACCUCCCCCAGCAGGGAACCAGCUGGGCACCCACAAGACGCUCAAAUAAAGGCCAUGGCUUUCCUCAA